GUGCUCGCUUCAGCAGCACAUAUACCAAAAUUGGAACAAUACAGAGAAGAUCAGCAUGGCCCCUGCACAAGGAUGACACGCAAAUUCAUGAAACGUUCCAUAUUUUU